UACCAUGCAGUCGAGCGGAGAUGAGGUGCUUGCACCUUAUCUUAGCGGCGGACGGGUGAGUAAUGCUUAGGAAUCUGCCUAUUAGUGGGGGACAACAUUCCGAAAGGAAUGCUAAUACCGCAUACGUCCUACGGGAGAAAGCAGGGGAUCUUCGGACCUUGCGCUAAUAGAUGAGCCUAAGUCGGAUUAGCUAGUUGGUGGGGUAAAGGCCUACCAAGGCGACGAUCUGUAGCGGGUCUGAGAGGAUGAUCCGCCACACUGGGACUGAGACACGGCCCAGACUCCUACGGGAGGCAGCAGUGGGGAAUAUUGGACAAUGGGGGGAACCCUGAUCCAGCCAUGCCGCGUGUGUGAAGAAGGCCUUAUGGUUGUAAAGCACUUUAAGCGAGGAGGAGGCUACUGAGACUAAUACUCUUGGAUAGUGGACGUUACUCGCAGAAUAAGCACCGGCUAACUCUGUGCCAGCAGCCGCGGUAAUACAGAGGGUGCGAGCGUUAAUCGGAUUUACUGGGCGUAAAGCGUGCGUAGGCGGCUUUUUAAGUCGGAUGUGAAAUCCCCGAGCUUAACUUGGGAAUUGCAUUCGAUACUGGGAAGCUAGAGUAUGGGAGAGGAUGGUAGAAUUCCAGGUGUAGCGGUGAAAUGCGUAGAGAUCUGGAGGAAUACCGAUGGCGAAGGCAGCCAUCUGGCCUAAUACUGACGCUGAGGUACGAAAGCAUGGGGAGCAAACAGGAUUAGAUACCCUGGUAG
rnacentral:rRNA from 1 species